rnacentral:tRNA from 1 species
GCGCUCGUAGCUCAGUUGGAUAGAGCGUCUGACUACGAAUCAGAAGGUCUCAGGUUCAAGUCCUGACGGGCGCGCC